rnacentral:rRNA from 1 species
CAGCAGCCACGGGAAUACGUAGGUGGCAAACGUUGUCCGGAAUUAUUGGGCGUAAAGGGCUCGCAGGCGGUUUCUUAAGUCUGAUGUGAAAGCCCCCGGCUCAACCGGGGAGGGUCAUUGGAAACUGGGAAACUUGAGUGCAGAAGAGGAGAGUGGAAUUCCACGUGUAGCGGUGAAAUGCGUAGAGAUGUGGAGGAACACCAGUGGCGAAGGCGACUCUCUGGUCUGUAACUGACGCUGAGGAGCGAAAGCGUGGGGAGCGAACAGGAUUAGAUACCCCCGUAGUCCCUGUCUCUUAUAC